AUAGCUUAGUGUUCGUUUCUGCUUUACUUUGGAGAAAUCGCUUGAACGCUUUCGUGCAAGCAUCAAUAGUUUUCGUAGGGAUAUUGUAACGCGGCAACAAUGUACUUUCAAAAGCUGGCAACGCUGUAAAUUUAGCCACCUCAGCCAUACCCUUUUUUCUGUUGCAGUCAAAUAUAGUUCACUAGUUGACCGUCUAUUAGGUAGAGUCCGCUAUCAUACAACAGUAUUUUGUGCAAAGUCGGUAAUUCAGACCCCGAGACAAAAACAAAAUUGCUCUGUCAAGACCAAUUGAGACUGAAGAAGAGUCAUCUGACGAAUCAAGUCUAGCUAGCGAACUCUAAUCUUUCUAUUGACCAAAAAAAGAAGAUAGGACGAAAGCUUGUAGGAAAUUCAGAAUUCCAUGAAAAACAAAAAUCAGACAUUAUAGAGCACACGUCUCAGAAUUAAGUAAAUAAAGUAUUAUCACAUUUCACCAUAUA